GCAUUCUAGUCAUCAACAAGUCCGGUGGCUUUAUAUACUACAAAAGGACUAUGGUUCGGCCGGGAGAAUGGACACCAACGACAUUCUACAAUUUGCAAGACACUCACAUUUGAUGCAUGGUGUCUUGCUUCAGUUGUCCCCUACCACUGGUUGUAAUGGCAUUAACAUCCUACAGGCCUGCAGCUUCAACCUCCAUUGCUUCCAUUCUUCCAUAGUUCUAGAAAUAUUAUCAAAGCAUCUUCUAUGAAGGGAUUGCUAUUAAUUUCGGCCUUAUAGAGGCUCAAGAACAGAAAGGUUUCGUCUUUGGCAUCCAUGGUGACGGCAGCCUAACCGAAUGGACCACAUAGAGCCAAUGUUGCUAGCAAAUAAGCCGCAGCCCUUGGACCCUCACCAACCCCGCUGUCCUCGGGCCCUGGACUGUUUGCGAGCAUAGGAGUUCAAUCAUAAACCAGGUGUUAGAAGACAUCAUCAAAACUGAUUCGUGGUACCAGUACCCGGACAUUCGGAAGGGAUAAAGCAAGAUAGUUAAAUUACCCGAGCCACAUGGAAAUUGAACUUGUCAUGUCAACAAUUCUGGUGGACGGGGGUUUGUCUUUGGGCAUCAAGAUGGAGAAGCUUUGUUCAACGUUGUGAGAGGACUUGACAAUAUUCAGGGUGCGCUCCAAGCUGAGAUUAUGGCAGCAAGGAAGGCUAUUAGCAUUGGAAUUAACCUAGGAGACCUAUUUUCUCACGGUUACAUUGUUGGGAGAUGCACGAUGUCAUUCGGAAGAUCCUCCUUCCAACAACCAAGCUAGAGAAGUUCAGUGAGGAACCCUGUCCAUGAUGUCACUUUCCCUCGGCUUUGCCUACUUCCGGCUUCGCCCCUGUCCUGGCUGCAUGGUAUAGCUAUGUAUACGGAACAUGGACGGCCGAAUAUACUUUUAUGCUAGGCAAAAUAGCAAACGAGAAGCAGAUAAUCCAAGGUCUGAAUUAUGUAGGGGGUUCUCAGAAGGCACGCCAGGUGGAAUGCCUGCCUUCGCUGGAGGAAUGGAUGGUGAUAUGCCUGCAGGAAUGGGUGGUGGUAUGCGUGGAGCUGGAGGUGCUCCCGGUCCCGAUGUCUGCAUUUGUCUCCAUGUACAUGCCGAGGUCAUGCCGUGAGGAGAUGAACGGAUGAACCGAGUCUCUUCUUCAACCAGUUGGUAGUCACUGAGACACGGGUCUGGAGCGGUACACGGAUGACCAAUCGAAAGAUUUGUCGUGGCGCUCCUGAAGAGGAAGCUGCAAAAGAGUGAACUAUUGUUUCAGUUUUUGCCUAUACUAGCCAAACUGUGUUGGUAGACGCAAAAGGGAAAAACUGUGUUCCCACUAGCCAAGAAGGAGCAACUGUGAAGCCACUCAUCUGAAGAUGCAUCUUCCACGGGCUUCCCAGGAUGCACAACUGGUGGAAUGUCUGGCUUUACUGGAGGAAUGGGUGGUGGUACUCUUGGAUACCUGUACUGUCGGUAUGGAUGUCAUCCCGAAUGACCCUGACCUGAUGACAACAUUUGGUGACCCUGAGGUUGGCGACUCUUCAAGAUGUUGUCUUAUGUGGAGGUGUUACUUUCUUUGGUCUAUUUCGUGCCGGUGACAAAGGAGGUGAACCGGUUAAACCAGUGGAAGUCGGUGGCGACGGAGCAACAUGUUGGCUUGCUGCAUGUGAAGGUGCGAAGUGGAACUGGACGCCGGAACCGGACAUUCUUUUCUUUGUGACGUUGCUUGAAGUUGGCUAGGUCAAAUACUAGACUGGAGCUUAUUAAACAGAUGGAGUGACUGUUUAUUAAGUUUUUUUUGUAUGAUGUUUGUUUCUUGGAGACAUGAGCUAGCAUAUUGAUGUCCUGUCCCUGGUGCGUUGGCUCUAUUUUAGUUCUGUAAGCUAGAUGCAUGUAUGUGUCUUAUGUACUUUGGCAAGACAGACUAGCUCAUGUCAAGUUGCCGUGGUCCAUGAAAUGUAUUUGAUACCGAGUUUGAAAUCCAAAUACAAGUUUUUGAUA